AGGUUCAAUUCCUACUUAGGGUUUUUUAAUUCAUCCUUGAAUUCGAAAUGAAAGUGAAAACAAGAAUUAGUCGCACAAGUGAUUCAUAUCAUUGCUUGUACUUGAAUCAAGAUUGGAUUAGCAGGAAAAGAGUGAAUCUGUCCUUCCUAAGCGCUUUCAGUCACCCAUUAGUGCUUUCUACUUGCUGGGCUAUUCCAUGUCUUUCGUAGAGAUUUUCUUAUAUAUGUGAAUUUUUUCUCUUUUUCAGUUCAUUUUUGUUUUUUGGUCAAUUAGCCACGAUUUGAUUUUUAAACUGUCCCAAAUUUAUGCCAUAACCCACUUAUUUCCCAACAACCUAUUUCAAUCACGAUCCCCUCUCUUCCAUAACCUGAUUCUGUUUUUUUUCUUCUUCAUUUCUCAAUUAUUUUUUAGCUGUGUAUAAAUGGUCACCACUAGGUUAGGUUCGAUGUCACCUUCCUCUGCUAAAAAAAUUCAAAGAAGACUAAGAAAGCUCCUUCGAAGUCCUCUAAUCUGAAGGUUGAAGGUAAACCUAAAAUGGGUUUGAAAGGCAUUGUCAAGAAGGAAAUGUCUAAUGUCCCUGAUGUUCAGAGGCUUCUGGUUCUAUAAAUAGACCACUUCCAUCUAAGGUUGAAGCUCGUAAGGCAAACAGAACCAAGUCUUCGAAAUCAGUUGAGGAUGUAAGGCUUUAAUAAUUGUUUUUAAAUUUUUUUUAUUUUUUUUGUUUCUAUUUUUUGUUUUCAGUUAUGUGUUUUAAUUUUUUUUUCUUCCUAAUUUUCUAGGUUGUAUCCGAUUCUGACUUCGAGGAUGAAGUUUCUGAUUUGGAUUCGAAGCCUAAAGUGAAACUCACGGUUUGUAUAUUUUUUCCCAUUUUUGUUCUUUUUAAGUUGUAUUUUUUUUUUCACUGUUUGGGUUUUUUUUUUUUUUUUGAUGUUUUAUAUGUUUGUCUUCAUAUUUUUUUUUUUUGAGUAUUUUAAAAUUUAUGUGUGUAUUUGUUUAAGUUUUUCAAUUUUAAGUUAUUUUUGUGUUAUUUUUUAGUUUUUAUUGUUUUGUUUUGUUAUUAGCAUUUUAUUUUCCCUAUUUAAUAAAAUUAAUUCAUGGUAAACUGUUUAUUAUUUUUAUUUUUGGUGAUUAGUUGUUUUUUAGUUUUUAAUGUAUUUUUUAAGGCUUUUUGUGUUUUUGUUUUCAUUUGUGAGAAAAUGAAACUUUUGUAAUUUUUAUGUAUUUUUCUAAAUCGUUUUUAAGUUUCGAUUUUUUGUUUAUGUGGGUUUUUAUUUUUAUCAAUUGUUUUUAUGUAUUUUUUCAGUUGUUUUUGUGUUGUUUAAGUUAUUUUUAUAGUUAAUAAUUUUUCAAGUUUUUCCAUAUUUUUUUUAUAGUUGUUAUUAUGUUAUUUUUUGGUUGUUCAACUUAUAGUGUCCAAUCUGUUUUGUUUGUUUUUUAUUAUACUGUUUUAUAUCAUGUUUUUUUUAGUUAUUUUUUUUAUUUUUUUAGAUGUUCAGCUAAUGUUGCCAUUUAUGUUUUUUUUUUUUUUUUAAAUUUACUUUGUUGAUUAUUUUUUGAGUUUUUGUAUUGUAUUUUUUUUUUCAGGUUCAUGCUUGAAGAUUUCGAUAUUCCAAUUAAAAAUUCUCUUAAGGUGUAUUUUUUGUUUAUGUUUUUUUUCCUUGUAUCUUUCUAUUUGUGUUCUUGGUUUAGUUAUUUGAUUUUUUAUUGUAUAGUUGUUUUAUAGUUUGUUUUAUUGUUUUUGUGAUGUUUGUUUUCAACUAUUGCAGGAAUGGAAUUUUAUAUAUGACUAAAAAAAAUUUUUUCUUGCAUAAGUUGUCUCCACAGCUUUCUACAAGUUUAUCCGUAAUAUUAAGUCUUGUCUUUCUUCUAAGCAACUUUAAAUGUUUUCAAAAACUUAUUUUGGACAUUUCCGUAAGCUUCUUGAGUUUACAGUCCAACUCGAAGAUUUUCACGGGUUGUUGUUGAGGGAGGUUCAGCGGCCUAACGAUGUUGAAUUGUGGGUAAUGAUUCGUGGUUUUAGGCUUAGGUUUAGCAUUGAGGAGUUUGCAUCGAUAACAGGUUUAGAUUGUGAAGGUGACUAUAGUGUGUUGGAUUUUAAGCAAGAUGUUAACAGUCUUUGUGUGAAAUAUUGGCCGACCUCCACCUCUAUUACCAAAGAAUCUGUUAGGAAAUGUUUAACAACAAAGAGGUGGGGUGAUUCUUAUGAGGAUGUUGUUAAGUUGGUUGUUUUUUAUUUUCUUGAAUAGUUUUUGCUUAGUGGUACUAAGCAUAAAAAAAAUUCAUGGUCCAUUUUAGAUAUUGUAGAUAGUGGUAGGUAUAAUGAGUUUGUUUGGGGCAAAAUUCUUUUGAAUUGACCAUUUCGUCGUUGAAGGGUAAGCUUGACAGUUAGGUUGAUAGUGUAAGAAAGGCUAAGAGUUUGGGAAAGAGGCCUAGUGUAGGUUAUACUUUUUGAUUGAUUGUCCUCAUGUAUUCUAAGUUUUGUUUUAUGAGUGUUGCAAAUACAUGAAUGAGAAUAUUUCCAAAAGGAAAUUUCUUGUAUUCCAAGGUUUGUUUAGUGGGCUUGUAGCACCCAGCGAACUUUCAAAAUUUUGAAAACUACAAUUUUUUAUGUUUCCAAAGAUAAGUUGAAGCUUUCUAAUAUGAAUUACUUCUGUUGAGUUUAAAUCCUUGAAACUGAGUAGUUUUAAGUUUAACACUGAUUACAAUUCUUACAAGAGUAAGUCUGUUCAGGAAGAAGCUUUUGUGGGUAAGAGUGACAUAUCUAUCAAACUUAAUGGUUUUUUUGAAAAAAUGGAUGGUUUGGAGGUUAAGAUUGAUUUGCUGCACACUCCCCAACAGCAGUGGCGGACCCAGAAUUUAAAGUGAGGAGGGGCGUAAAUAAAUUUAAAAAGAAAAUAUUAAGUGUAGUUAGUGGGGUUUGAACCUUUACCCUCUAACCUAUUUACCAACUACCUUAACCAUUACACCAAGGUUACUAUUAUAUGUAUAAAUAUCAUCUUUUAAUACAAAUAUAUGUUGUAACUAAUUAAAAUACAUAUACAUUUUUUUCUCGAUUUUUUUUUCAGGGGGGGCGACUGCCCCCCCUCGCUACAAUGUGGGUCCGCCCCUGCCCAACAGAAUAUAUCAUCUGAUUUGGUUGAGUUGAAAGAGUUCAUUGUUGCCCAGUUUAUUUAUUUUGCUACCCAAUGGCUACAAUGCAGACACAGUUUUCAUCCGUGCUUGUUGAUUUUGUUGCUAAGCACAAAGGUAGCGACUCUUCCAAUGAUGAUGGUGGUAGUAAUAAUGAAGAACAUAUUGAAUCAGACGGUAAUAAAGAAGCAGAUGAUAAUGAAGAAGCAGAUGAUAAUAAAGAAGAGUAGGAUGAUAAAGAUGAAGAUUUAGAGGAAGGUAGUGGUGAUGAAGAGGAGGAGGGUAGUGAUGGAGAACAAAAAGAUGCAGAUGAUAAUGAUGAUUUUGAGUCAAAAGAAAAAGAUGAGAAGGGCAGUGAUGAUGAAUGCGAUGAUAGUGAGAAGAAAGUAGAUCAUUAGACAAUGUAACUAUGUUUUCGUUACUUUGUAUGUCAUAUUUUAUUGUAAUUCCAAGUUUAUGGGGUAAAUAGCGGCAUAAGUACCCAAAGUUUUAUGUGUGUAAGCGGCAUAAGUACCCAAUGUUUGUAAAACUGUAAUUUUCUUCUAGUUUUGUCAGCACAGACUCUGUUUUAAAUUUAUUAAAAGAACGUUUGGAAGUAA